rnacentral:rRNA from 1 species
GGGUCAGUAGGUUGGUCGUGCCACCGGUACGUACUGGUCUCACUGAUUCCUCCUUCCUGAAGAACCGUAAUGCCAUUAAUUUGGUGUUGCGGGGAAACAGGACUGUUACUUUGAAAAAAUUAGAGUGUUUGAAGCAAGCUAACGCUUGAAUACAUUAGCAUGGAAUAAUGAAAUAGGACGAUCGACCCUAUUUUGUUGGUUUCUAGGAUUGACGUA